CUCGUGCCGUGAGGUGUGGGUUAAGUCCCGCAACGAGCGCAACCCUCACCCUUAGUUGCCAUCAUUAAGUUGGGCGACCCUAAGGGAACUGCCGCAGUUAAUGCGGAGGAAGGUGGGGAUGACGUCAAGUCCUCAUGGCCCUUAUAUCCAGGGCUACACACGUGCUACAAUGGGCGGUACAAAGGGUCGCGAACCUGUAAGGGGGAGCUAACCCCAGAAAACCGUUCUCAGUUCGGAUUGGAGUCUGCAACCCGACUCCAUGAAGUUGGAAUCGCUAGUAAUCGCGGAUCAGAACGCCGCGGUGAAUACGUUCCCGGGCCUU
rnacentral:rRNA from 1 species